AAUUGUUGUUCUAUAAAAAUAUAGAUAAUAUGCAAGUCUAGAGUUAGCAGUUUACAGAUAUGACAGUCAACAGUUGGCAACUCAAACCAUCCCUUGCGAUGACUCGGAUUUGCACGCUCUCAUUUAAUGAUGAUCUCAGUGUUGUUGUACUACCAGUUUUAGUAAAAAUUGUUAUAAUUAAUUGUUAAUUAAAACUAGAAAAUUGUUCGAUAUUCAUGAAGUGCGCAACAAUCAAAAUUCUUUUGAAAGUGCAUACAGGGUGUAAAAAUGUUUAUCUCGGUACUUCAAUAUUAACUGACUUUGACAUUAAAUUAGUUUUUGAGUUGUUAAUAUGUUCCGCGUAGACAAGCGACUUCAUAUAUGUAUGUAACUUUAAUGGCGCGAUCUUGGAGACUUCGCUACAACUUCGCUCAUUACAUGAUAUAAUGCGCUAACCAAAAGUCUUAUUCAAUAAAUUGAAUGUUUUAUUGACUGUACGGCAUAUAUGUACCUCUAUGUAGUGUCAUUUUGUUGGAACCAAAAGUCGUCCAGACCAACAUCCUCCAACUCAGGCACGAAAAAGUCAUUAAUCAUCGCCCACUGAGAGUAACAUUAUUGUCGGCUUCAUUUCUCAUUGGCAGUUGUAAUGAUCUUCAUGAAUGUAAAAUCGGAAUUCGCACGAACAAGCAUGUCUAAAGUGAGCGGUUUAUGGUACUCCUUUUGAAAAAAAAAACAGCUUUACCGGAACCAGUCGAGCAAAAACGCGUUUCGGCACAUUCGUUUGUGGCAAAUCCUUUGGUAGAUAUUUUUAUCAUUGUAAAAAUCGCAUCGCACUACUGAGGUGUACCGCCUUAAAACAUACUGGUCUGACCCAUAUUUGGCAUAAAAUUAAAGACUGUCCUACCAACUUAGCAAAAUACAUUUUUUUGAAAUACCAUUUUAAUUUAAUUACAAUUCCGAGUGCUUGUUUGUCGUAACUUAUCUUCGUCUGAUUCACAGCCUCUUUUGAUUAUGACUUAUUGUUAAAAUUAAGUCCACUCCUUUUCGUCUAACGUUCGUUUAUCGUUCUCGCAUUGAUUGGCUGUUCAGGCCUUCAAAUCUGGUUCAUUCAAGAGAAUGCGCUAAACCUAUAAAGAUGCUCGAGAGUUAUGGAAAAAUAUUUGAAGUUUUUUAAUCUAAUAAAGUCGAAACAGCAUGCUGAAAGGGUAUACAAAUGUGUUCCGUAAUAAUAUCUCAAACAUAACGGCAUAUUAAAUGACCCACCCUGUACGCGUAUAAACUCUUAGUACAUAAAAGGUUAUCUAUGAUGUAUUUAAUUUGUAUUUUUCAGUCUAAAAAUUAUUUGUUUACAAUUAAACUUUGAAUAAUAAGAACUUUGCACAGUUUUAAUGAAAUAAUUUUUCUUAUAAGUAGACAGCAAUAGCGCAUGUUUAGUAACUAAUGAGAUCGCAAUUAAAUACUUAAAUGCUUUCAUAUGUCGACCGGAUUAACAAUUAAUUUUAAAUUGCUUAAACGCGUAGAAAUUAAAUCAAGCAGAGCCAAAAGCAAUAAAUGGUUAUACUUUGGCAACUAAAAACAGUUUUGAUUAGAAUUUCUAUUUGGAAGAUUUACUGUUCGUAAAAUAAAUAAUAGAGAUCUAAAUAACGAGGUGUUGAACGAUUAUGUUGUUAUCUAAUAUAUAAAAAUAAGUUGGAUUUUUGUCUGUUCGCUAUAGCUGACUAAACCGUUACAUGGAACGAAAAAUGGCCUGAACCAUGUUGAAGUUUUACGACGUUUUUUCUCGAUUUUCAAAGAAAUCUAAAAAUAUUUAAAUUUCUUGAAUUUCCUGUGCGAAAUCAAGAUAAAUCCUGGAUUCCACCUAAAUGUUGUGUAACGUAUGUGGGAGACUGCUAUUUGGUUGAGCUAAACAAGAACCCAGUCAUAAACCAUUUGCUAUACCAAUGACUUCAAACCAAGGAAUAAUGGCUACAAUUGACCUUAUAUCCAAGUUCAAACUCACUACCUAGUCAAACUUGUCUUCGACCAACAAACUCAUCCUACGUAGUGUCAAAACUGCCUAUAUCAAAGCAUCCAAAUCAAUCAGAAAAUCAGGAUUGUACUCCGGAACUUGUUCAUCAA